CCUUGUACAAGUGGCAGAAGCCGGUCUUGCUUUCGUUGGCGCGGAUGAAGCAGAGCUCGUCCUCACCCUCUGAUUGGGGGAAGGGAUAGAAGAUGUCAUGAACCUGUCCGGGCAGAAGAGGGAAGACACGUCAGAGUGAGGUGCAGAGUGACGGGGGCAGCAGGGCCCAGCCUGGCAGCAGAGCUCUGGAUGGUGUUUUGCAUUCAGUUGGCCAAGAGGAGCACCUGCCGUGGGAAGGGAGUGAGCAGACUGCUGAUGCUGCCCAACUACCUACCCCGUUCAAAACACAUACCCUGACCCCUCUUCUCACCCAGAAGCUUCUCGGGGCUCUCUGGCCCUCUUACCUUGCCUUGACUGUCAGUUUGAAACUCAGCCAGCUUCAAGGCGAUCUUUGGAUUCUUGCUACCUGCAGAAAUGAAAGUGAGUGCAGGAGAGGGCACGUGAAUGACCUCCACCUCCGACUCGUCGACCUCCUCGUACAGGAUUCGCAGUGUCUUGUGGCCUUCCGAACCUGGGAGGAGGCAGGGACACCACUGAGGGUGCCAGGAGGCCACCCAUCCCGUGCACACGAGGGACUCGCUGUGCCACAGCUGGGCCCAGGCAAGAGCAUGAGCCUUUGGGCUGGAACCCGGAGCUGCCCUUUACUAGACCUUCAGCCAGUCACACCUCCUCCUGGGGCCUAGUUCCCCUACCUGCACAGUGGGGUCGAGGACUGAGCUAUUCCCAGCACAAAACAGUGUGGGAACUGGCUAUGGAGGGGGUUUGUGUGCUGAAUUGUGUAUGUUCCUGUCAAGUCCCUAUGUUGAAGCCCUAAUGCCAGGACCUCGUAAUGUGACUGUAUGUGGAGAUGGGGUCUUUAAAGAGGUGGUUAAGGUAAAAUGAGGUCAUUAGGUUGGGCCCUAAUCCAAUAUGACUGGUGUCCUUAAAGGAAGAGAUUAGGAAACAGACACACACAGAGGGAAGACCUGUGAGGAGACAGGGAGAACAGCCAAGGAGAGGGGCCAAGGUGCUGACACCUUGACCUCGGACUUGCGGACUCCAGCACUGAGAGACAACAAGUGUCUGUCGGGUAGGCCCUCAGUCUGGGAGCAGGUUCAGCAACCCAAGUUAAUUAACACAUGUCUCCAGAAGAAGAAUUAAAAUAAAGAUCAUUGUGAGAAUAAGCAGAUCACUGGGUGGUAACAGCUGAGAGAGAAGUGGGGUGACUGGCCAAGCUGACAUCACAGGGACAGAGCCGUGGCCGCGCCUUCCUCAGCAGGCCCUUUCCUUCCUUAGCCACUGAGAAGGUUCUCCUGCUGCUUCCUGUUUCUGCCCUAAGACUCACUGUGGACAGACCAAAGAUGUCUCCGGAAGCACCCGCCUGCUCCGCACCUGCUUUAGGGCGGAGCCCUGGAUGCCUAAGGGGCUGAGUGGCUGGCUCGAGGCCAUGUGGCUUGGGAGUGGCAGCACUGUGCUUCCUCCUCAGCUGUGACAAACAGGAGUCUCCCGACAUUGUGCAAUGUCCCCUAAAGGCAGGUUCACCCCAGCUGAGAAUGACUGAUACACGCCCAGAAGAUCACCCACCAGGAUCGGUGUAUAAAGGUAUUCAAAGGAGUAUUGAUUAUGACACCAAAAUAAAACCAAAACCCACAACUAGAAACAACCAAAGAACUAGCUCAAUAAACCAUGGCACAGUCACACUCCAAAGAGUCCUUUGUGUGCUGACUGCAAGGGAUCGUGUCCCCCCCAAAUUCAAAUGUUAAAGCCUAUCCCCGAUAUAAUGGCAUUACAUGAUGGGGCCUUUGGGAGGUGAUUAGGUCAUAAGGACGGAGCCCCCAUGGGAGGGGUAAGUGUCCUUAUAAAAGAGACCCCAGGACAUGAGGACACAGCAAGAAGGUGCCAUCUAUGAACCAGGAGGAGGUUCUCACCAGACACUGAAUCUUCUGGUGCCUUCAUUGUGAACUCCCAGCCUUGAGAACCAUGAGAUGUAAGUGCUGUUUAUAAGCCCCCCAAACUGUGGUGUGGUUAUAGCAGCCCAAACGGACCGAGACACUGAUAUCAACAGAAAGACUGCUGAGGUUUCUUUAAAGUGACAAGUGCAAAGAGCAGAAAAGCACACAGUCUAUUAAUAAAAGAAGUGUACACAGAGCAUUUUUGUUGUUAAUCCUCAACCAAGAAUAUUUUUUCCAUAUUGAAGGGAGGGAGGGGGAGAAAGGAGAGAGAGAAAGAGAAACAUCGAUUGGAGAGAGCCACAUCGACUAGUUGCCUCUAACACCCGCCCCGGGCCAGGGAUCCAACCUGCAACCCAGAUACAUCCCCUUGACCAGGAAUUGAACCCCAACUCUUCAGUGCACGGGCCAAUGCUCAAACCACUUAACCACUGCCAGGACCAUAGAAGCAUUUUUUAAAAAUGGAAAGGGACCUACCUUCC